CCUACGGGAGGCAGCAGUGAGGAAUAUUGGUCAAUGGACGAGAGUCUGAACCAGCCAAGUAGCGUGAAGGAUGACUGCCCUAUGGGUUGUAAACUUCUUUUAUAAAGGAAUAAAACGAGGCACGUGUGCCUUUUUGCAUGUACUUUAUGAAUAAGGAUCGGCUAACUCCGUGCCCGCAGCCGCGGUAAUACGGAGGAUCCGAGCGUUAUCCGCAAUUAUUGGGUUUAAAGGGAGCGUAGAUGGGUUGUUAAGUCAGUUGUGAAAGUUUGCGGCUCAACCGUAAAAUUGCAAUUGAUACUGGCAGUCUUGAGUACAGUUGAGGUAAGCGGAAUUCGUGGUGUAGCGGUGAAAUGCUUAGAUAUCACGAAGAACCCCGAUUGCGAAGGCAGCUUACUAAACUGUGACUGACAUUGAUGCUCGAAAGUGUGGGUAUCAAACAGGAUUAGAUACCCGAGUAGUC
rnacentral:rRNA from 1 species